rnacentral:lncRNA from 1 species
ACUCUUAACCAUUCUAUAGAAUCAGCACCCAUCUUUGAGUCAGAGUUUGAGAUGCAAAUCCUUUACUGUAUAGCCUUGAUCAAAUGACUUCACCUCAUUGAAUUAAUCUUCUUCUGCAUAAAAUGGGGUCACCAUCUGCUUAUCUAAAUUGUUACAAAUGGGACAGUAUAUGUGCCAUUCCAGAUACCUAAUCACAGCUCAAUCGAUGCUGGUGUCUUUUUCCUUUUUCCUUCUGCAGAAAACAUGCUUUACAUAGGAUCUCUGAACUUAAAGAAUGGGAAGAAGAAAAAUCAUGUUUCCAGCUUGGGCUGCUGUUUCAUCUGUUGGACUUGCUUAAAGCGUAUGGGUUUGUUUACCCUUCCUGCAGGCAUCCAACCUGGCCUUUUAUUCCUGCUCAAGUAGGACAUGCAGCCUGCUGGGGACCCGUGGCUCAAAUCCUCCAACUGCAGGACUGCCGGCCCUGGGACUCAUGAAUAAUGGAAGUGCAGUAACCACUCCUUACAGCCCAGACGACUUUCCAGGAGCAGGCUGUACCCCGAAAGUAAACAAGGAACAAGGGGCAAGGAGACAGAGAGAGAUGGGGAAAUAUCCUCACCAACAGCCCUGCUGCAGUGAAAACUGGAGGAUCCCUGAAUGGAAAGGAAUGCUAUGCACACUUUUUGGAUACAGGAAGUGAGAUUCAGAGGGGUUAAACAGCUUUCCUAAAGCCACACAGCGAGAGAGUCGAUCUGAACUGAAGAUUGUUUGACAUCAAAGCUCAUUUCUUUCCCUAAAUGUCAGCAUUCUUUCCUGACUUAUUAAUUUGAUUUCUGUCCUCCCCUCAUGGAAGUUAAUUAAAGGAAUGCGAGAACCUUUUAGAAAAUCUCCAGGGCA